rnacentral:rRNA from 1 species
CCUACGGGUGGCAGCAGUGAGGAAUAUUGGUCAAUGGGCGCGAGCCUGAACCAGCCAAGUAGCGUGAAGGAUGACUGCCCUGCGGGUUGUAAACUUCUUUUCUGGGGGACGAAAAAAUGACGGUACCCCAGGAAUAAGCCUCGGCUAACUACGGGCCAGCAGCCGCGGUAAUACGUAGGUGGCAAGCGUUCUGCGGAUUUAUUGGGUGUAAAGGGCGUGUAGGCGGGAAUGUAAGUCAGUGGUGAAAACGAUGGGCUAAACCCAUAGCGUGCAUUUGAACCUGGAUUGCGUGAGUGCUGGAGAGGUAAGCGGAAUUCCGUGUGUAGCGGUGAAAUGCGUAGAUAUAGGGAGGAACACCAGUGGCGAAGGCGGAGUGCUGGACAGUAACUGACGCUGAGGCGCGAAAGCGUGGGGAGCGAACAGGAUUAGAUACCCCUGUAGUC